rnacentral:rRNA from 1 species
AGAGUUUGAUCCUGGCUCAGAAUGAACGCUGGCGGCGUGCUUAACACAUGCAAGUCGAACGAUGAAGCCCAGCUUGCUGGGUGGAUUAGUGGCGCACGGGUGAGUAAUAUAUAGAUAACGUGCCUCUUAGUCUGGGAUAGCCAUUGGAAACGAUGAUUAAUACCGGAUACUCCUUCUAACUCUAAUGUUAGUCGGGAAAGUUUUUCGCUAAGAGAUCGGUCUAUAUCCCAUCAGCUUGUUGGUAGUGUAAGAGACUACCAAGGCUAUGACGGGUAGCGGGUUUGAGAGGAUGAUCCGCCACACUGGUACUGAGACACGGACCAGACUCCUACGGGAGGCAGCAGUGAGGAAUAUUGCACAAUGGAGGAAACUCUGAUGCAGCAACGCCGCGUGGAGGAUGACGCAUUUCGGUGUGUAAACUCCUUUUAUAUGUCAAGAAAAUGACGGUAGCAUAUGAAUAAGCACCGGCUAACUCCGUGCCAGCAGCCGCGGUAAUACGGAGGGUGCAAGCGUUAUUCGGAAUUACUGGGCGUAAAGGACGCGUAGGCGGCCAGGCAAGUUAGAUGUGAAAUCCUAUGGCUUAACCAUAGAACUGCAUCUAAAACUGCUUGGCUAGAGUGGGGGAGAGGUCAGUGGAAUUAGUGGUGUAGGGGUAAAAUCCGUAGAGAUCACUAGGAAUACUCAUUGCGAAGGCGACUGACUGGAACUUAACUGACGCUGAGGCGUGAAAGCGUGGGGAGCAA